UACGGAGGGGGCUAGCGUUGUUCGGAAUUACUGGGCGUAAAGCGCGCGUAGGCGGACCAGAAAGUCAGGGGUGAAAUCCCGGGGCUCAACCCCGGAACUGCCCUUGAAACUCCUGGUCUUGAGUUCGAGAGAGGUGAGUGGAAUUCCGAGUGUAGAGGUGAAAUUCGUAGAUAUUCGGAGGAACACCAGUGGCGAAGGCGGCUCACUGGCUCGAUACUGACGCUGAGGUGCGAAAGUGUGGGGAGCAAACAGGAUUAGAUACCCCUGUAGUCCCUGAGCGGG
rnacentral:rRNA from 1 species